rnacentral:rRNA from 1 species
AGAGUUUGAUCAUGGCUCAGAACGAACGCUGGCGGCAUGCCUAACACAUGCAAGUCGAACGGGAUCCGGACUUCGGUUCGGUGAGAGUGGCGGACGGGUGAGUAACGCGUGGGAACCUGCCCAGUGGUGGGGGAUAACUGCGGGAAACUGCAGCUAAUACCGCAUGAGCCCGAGAGGGGAAAGAUUUAUCGCCAUUGGAGGGGCCCGCGUUCGAUUAGGUAGUUGGUGAGGUAAUGGCUCACCAAGCCGACGAUCGAUAGCUGGUCUGAGAGGAUGAUCAGCCACACUGGGACUGAGAUACGGCCCAGACUCCUACGAGAGGCAGCAGUGGGGAAUAUUGGACAAUGGGGGCAACCCUGAUCCAGCAAUGCCGCGUGAGUGAUGAAGGCCUUCGGGUUGUAAAGCUCUUUUGCCAGGGACGAUGAUGACGGUACCUGGAGAAUAAGCCCCGGCUAACUCUGUGCCAGCCGCCGCGGUAAUUC